GCCAGGCGUGGUGGUGCAUGCCUGUAGUCCCAGCUACUUGGGAGGCUGGGGCAGAAGAAUUGCUUGAACCCAGGAGGUGGAGGUUGCUGUGAGCCGAGAUUGCACCACUGCACUCCAGCCUGGGUGACAGAGCGAGACUCUGUCUCAA
rnacentral:SRP_RNA from 1 species